UAUAAGGUCUAAUCUGCCCAAUGAGUAAUUAAAUGGCCGCGGUAUUUUGACCGUGCAAAGGUAGCAUAAUAAUUAGUUUUUUAAUUGAAAGCUGGAAUGAAUGAUUGGACGAGAAAAUAUCUGUCUCAAGGUAAAUUAUUUUUGAAUUUUAUUUUUAAGUAAAAAAGCUUAAAUUUAUUUAAAAGACGAGAAGACCCUAUAGAGUUUUAUAAAUUAUUUUAUCAUAAUUAAUAAGUAUUAUUUUAUUAAUAUAAAUAGAUUUAUUUUGUUGGGGCGAUGGAAAAAUUUAUUAAACUUUUUUUAUUUAAAAACAUUUAUUUAUGGUUAUUUGAUCCAAUUUUUUUGAUUAUAAGAUUAAAUUACCUUAGGGAUAACAGCGUAAUUUUUUUUUAGAGUUCUAAUCGAAAGAAAAGUUUGCGACCUCGAUGUUGGAUUAAAAUUAAUGUUGGGUGUAGAAGUUCAAUAAUUAGGUCUGUUCGACCUUUAAAAUUUUACA
rnacentral:rRNA from 1 species